rnacentral:rRNA from 1 species
AGAGUUUGAUCAUGGCUCAGGACGAACGCUGGCGGCGUGCCUAAUACAUGCAAGUCGAACGGUCUUUUCUAUGGAAGCUUGCUUCCACUGAGAAGAUAGUGGCGAACGGGUGAGUAACACGUGGGUAACCUGCCCAUAAGAGGGGGAUAACAUCCGGAAACGGGUGCUAAUACCGCAUAGUUUUCUUGAUCGCAUGAUUGAGAAAGGAAAGACGGCCUUUGUGCUGUCGCUUAUGGAUGGACCCGCGGCGUAUUAGUUAGUUGGUGAGGUAACGGCUCACCAAGACGAUGAUACGUAGCCGACCUGAGAGGGUGAUCGGCCACAUUGGGACUGAGACACGGCCCAAACUCCUACGGGAGGCAGCAGUAGGGAAUCUUCCGCAAUGGACGAAAGUCUGACGGAGCAACGCCGCGUGAGUGAAGAAGGUUUUCGGAUCGUAAAACUCUGUUGUCAGAGAAGAACAAGUUGGAGAGUAACUGCUCCAGCCUUGACGGUAUCUGACCAGAAAGCCACGGCUAACUACGUGCCAGCAGCCGCGGUAAUACGUAGGUGGCAAGCGUUGUCCGGAUUUAUUGGGCGUAAAGCGAGCGCAGGCGGUUCCUUAAGUCUGAUGUGAAAGCCCACGGCUCAACCGUGGAAGGUCAUUGGAAACUGGGGAACUUGAGUGCAGAAGAGGAGAGUGGAAUUCCAUGUGUAGCGGUGAAAUGCGUAGAUAUAUGGAGGAACACCAGUGGCGAAGGCGACUCUCUGGUC